AGAAUAACUACUACCUGCCCCCCAGCACGGAGAACACGAUACAAGCAUGUAAUGUCCCUCUUUGUGGUCAUUUUGAAUAUUGCUAUAUGAAGGCAAAUUAGAAAAUGCUCACAGCCUACUUUUCCAUCAGGACCAAAAUCCUAGUAAGAUCUUAAGCUUCAUUAGGGAAGAGAUUGAUCAAUGCUAUACCUUCAGUCAUGAGAGUUUACCUGGCACACAGGAAAUGCUCCAGUAUUUGCUGGACAGAGAGAAAGGAAAAGAUGGAAAGGGAAAAUGAAGAUAUACAGAAAGAUCCCUGCAAUUACCCAUGUCUAUCAUCAUGAAAGGAGCAAGGUGCAAUGGAGAGAACACUGGGCUUGGAAAACCUGGGAUCCCCUUUUUUCUGACUGCAUGACCUUGGAAAUGUAACAUCUCUCGCUUUUUCUUCUGCAACAUGAUAAUGCUGUCUACCUGCUAUGGAUGUUAUGAAACUUAAAAAGAUAAUUGUAUGGGAGCAAUUUCUGUUCCUAAGUCACCUACCUCUUUCUGUCUCUUCCUUCCU